rnacentral:rRNA from 1 species
UACGAAGGUGGCAAGCGUUACUCGGAAUUACUAGGCGUAAAGCGCAGGUAGGCGGUUCGAUAAGUCUUUUGUGAAAGCUCCCGGCUUAACUGGGAGAGGUCAAGGGAUACUAUCGGGCUAGAGUGUGGUAGAGGAUACUGGAAUUCCCGGUGUAGCGGUGAAAUGCGUAGAUAUCGGGAGGAAUACCUAUGGCGAAAGCAGGUAUCUGGGCCAUCACUGACGCUGAGCUGCGAAAGCUAGGGGAGCAAAC